rnacentral:lncRNA from 1 species
UCAGCAUUAGGGUUUUAAACCCAAAACUGAACUAUUUCCUUUAGUCAGUAUUAGGGUUUUAAACCCUAAACUGAACUCUUUCCAUUCUGUCAGCAUUAGGGUUUUAAACCCUAAACUGAACUUUUCCAUUUAGUCAGCAUUAGGGUUUUAAACCCUAAACUGAACUUUUUCCUUUAGUCAGCAUUAGGGUUUUAAACCCUAAACUGAACUUUUCCCGCUUAGUCAGCAUUAAAGUUUUAAACCCUAAACUGAACUUUUCCAUUCAGUCAGUAUUAGGACCCCAACCCUAAACUGAACUUUUCCCCAGUUA